GACGAACGCUGGCGGCGUGCUUAACACAUGCAAGUCGAACGGAAAGGCUCCAGCUUGCUGGAGUACUCGAGUGGCGAACGGGUGAGUAACACGUGGGUAAUCUGCCCUGCACUCUGGGAUAAGCCUGGGAAACUGGGUCUAAUACUGGAUAUGACCUUUCUCCUUAUGGGGUUUGGUGGAAAGUUUUUCGGUGUAGGAUGAGCCCGCGGCCCAUCAGCUUGUUGGUGGGGUGAUGGCCUACCAAGGCGACGACGGGUAGCCGGCCUGAGAGGGUGAUCGGCCACAUUGGGACUGAGAUACGGCCCAGACUCCUACGGGAGGCAGCAGUGGGGAAUAUUGCACAAUGGGCGGAAGCCUGAUGCAGCGACGCCGCGUGAGGGAUGACGGCCUUCGGGUUGUAAACCUCUUUCAGCAGGGACGAAGCGUAAGUGACGGUACCUGCAGAAGAAGCACCGGCUAACUAUGUG
rnacentral:rRNA from 1 species